rnacentral:rRNA from 1 species
GUGGGAACCCUCCACCGCCUCCUUUCACCAGGGCCUACCUCAUCCCCGCACCCCCGCGAGCGUGCUCCGUGGCCCCUACCGCUGCUCCCUUCCGGGCCUUGCGGGGUUUGGGGCCUAAAGGGGGUUAGCACGGCCCUUCAGCCGUGCCUCCCCCACCGGGCACCCCGCGGGACGAGGACUCAUCGUUCGGCCCUGGCUUCCGGAGGCGGCUUCGGGAACCGCCCCUCGGGCUUCGGCCCCGGCAUAUCGGCGGUUUCCGGUUACAGGGGACGCCGAACCCCCCGGCCUAGCCCGCCGCCAAUUAACUACUAUCAAGUUUACGUAUAUAAAGGUUUGGCUCUUAACAUUCAGAUGUCAAAAACAUUUAAAAAUGGAAAGCCUGCUUGUUAU